AUGUACGUGCGAUCCUUACUAAGGCCCCGAGGGAGGAUCUUCGUAAGGCCCGCCACGUUGAGAUGCCCGGCAUUAACCCCGGCAUUACGUUCCGCGUACAACAAUAGUGGAACCUGAGCUAGUUUCGCAGACGGAAUCUUUCCUGAGUCCUGUAGAAGACCAACCGCGAGAUCUGUAUGCAUGAGAAACUUCACGUAGAGAGCGCAUGGGUCUCGUACGAAGAUCAUGUCCAGGUUACGCGUUAUCUUCCUGAUCGACGCGAACCUUGAGUAUUCAUUUCAUUCGAGGUUUAUCGUCGCUGAAACGUUGACGUGUUUGAAUUAAAUGGCGGGAGCUGAGAUUUGUCCGAUGCAAGAGAUGUCAGGGUAAUGGACAACCAGGUUGUCGUUAGUUCUUAGUACUACGUGGAGGAAGUGAAGGAACGGGCGAAAGGGUUAUGAGGAAUUUGCAUAUGGUGAUAUGGCGCGCGAUUAGAAACGAGCAGUGGUGAAAGGUAGCUAAGUAGAUGGAUAGAUAUGCGGUUGGGUUAGGUUAGGGUUAGGUUGGAUAAAGGAAACAAGAAACAGAACUUUCCGUUAGAGCGCCGUGAAAAGUUUUAUAGAUGGACAAGAAACGUAAAAAAAGAAUAUGGCGGAUGCGCCUAAGGAAACAAAGGCUGACAGCACCGUUGCCGAAGAUUACGCUAGCAGAACGAACAGUCUGAUAUUAAUUAGCACUGACAUUAAAUAGAUACGUUAGCAGUUGUAGUACCCGGCGUGUCCAGCUACCCGGGUAAUUAACGAUCUGGGAUAAGAUCUGUGUUGUCGGGAGUAAGCAGUGAGCUAGAAUAUAGUAUAUCUUGUGAGACAUAUACUGGUAUAUAUUCUUAGGUUAUGUACCUGUAGGAUACUGAAGGAAGCGAAGCUCAUAAUUGAAGAAAAUAAAAUUGCUACAAGGAAAAGAUUUGCCUUUAGGCUCCAUGGCAAGAUACAAUACACAAUGCAUCAUCGUCUAUAAGAGAAUCCAGUGACAGCAGCAAAUAACAGAUUGGCAAAGUUUCAAAAGGUCACGCGGACGUCCCUAAGGGUCACGCCUUGUAAAAUUCAGGUUCCCCUUCCGUGUGCGGAUCGAGAUUCAAUUUGUACAAUUGGAGAAGAUUUCUUAUAUGAGGAUUUUGUUACUAUUCUUUAAACAUACUUUUUAUUUACUUAUCCAAAGAG